GAUGAACGCUGGCGGCGUGCCUAAUACAUGCAAGUCGAGCGAACGGACGAGAAGCUUGCUUUUCUGAUGUUAGCGGCGGACGGGUGAGUAACACGUGGAUAACCUACCUAUAAGACUGGGAUAACUUCGGGAAACCGGAGCUAAUACCGGAUAAUAUUUUGAACCGCAUGGUUCAAAAGUGAAAGACGGUCUUGCUGUCACUUAUAGAUGGAUCCGCGCUGCAUUAGCUAGUUGGUAAGGUAACGGCUUACCAAGGCAACGAUGCAUAGCCGACCUGAGAGGGGAGUGGGCAAAACUGAACCGGGGAAACGGUCCGAAUCCCUAGGGAGGCAGCAGUAGGGAAUCUUCCGCAAUGGGCGAAAGCCUGACGGAGCAACGCCGCGUGAGUGAUGAAGGUCUUCGGAUCGUAAAACUCUGUUAUUAGGGAAGAACAUAUGUGUAAGUAACUGUGCACAUCUUGACGGUACCUAAUCAGAAAGCCACGGCUAACUACGUG
rnacentral:rRNA from 1 species